GGGGCUAAAGGAGCUUGCUCCUCCACGCCUAGUGGCGGACGGGUGAAUAACCCCCGAGUAACCGGUCUUUCACACGGGAAUAACUUUCUGAAAAGAACGCUAAUACCGCAUAACGUGCAGCUUUCGCAUGAAAUCAGUACCUAAGGAGCUAUCCGCUGAUAGAUGGACUCGCGUCCUAUUAACUGGUUGGUGGGGUAAAGGCCUACCAAGGCGACCAUCGGUAGCCGGACUGAGAGGGCGACCGGCCACUUUGGGACUGAGACACGGCCCAGACUCCUACGGGAGGCAGCAGUGGGGAAUAUUGCACAAUGGGGGAAACCCUGAUGCAGACGAUGCCGCGUGGAGGAAGAAGGUUUUCGGAUUGUAAACUCCUUUUAUCAGGGACGAUAAUGACGGUACACUGAAGAAAAAGCUCCGGCUAACUACGUGCCAGCAGCCGCGGUAAUACGUAGGGAGCGAGCGUUGUCCGGAAUUACUGGGUGUAAAGGGAGCCCCCCCCCGACCGCAAGUCAGAUGUGAAAACUGAGGGCUCAACCUUCAGACUGCAUUUGAAACUGCUGUUCUUGAGUGAAGUAGAGGUAAGCGGAAUUCCUAGUGUAGCGGUGAAAUGCGUAGAUAUUAGGAGGAACAUCGGUGGCGAAGGCGGCUUACUGGGCUUUUACUGACGCUGAGGCUCGAAAGCGUGGGGAGCAAACAGGAUUAGAUACCCUGGUAGUCCACGCUGUAAACGAUGAUUACUAGGUGUGGGGGGACUGACCCCUUCCGUGCCGCAGUUAAACACAAUAAGUAAUCCACCUGGGGAGUACGACCGCAAGGUUGAAACUCAAAGGAAUUGACGGGGGCCCGCACAAGCAGUGGAGUAUGUGGUUUAAUUCGAAGCAACGCGAAGAACCUUACCAGGUCUUGACAUCGUAUGCUUAGCCUAGAGAUAGGUGAAAUCCCUUCGGGGACAUAUAGACAGGUGGUGCAUGGUUGUCGUCAGCUCGUGUCGUGAGAUGUUGGGUUAAGUCCCGCAACGAGCGCAACCCUUACCUUUAGUUGCUACGCAAGAGCACUCUAGAGGGACUGCCGUUGACAAAACGGAGGAAGGUGGGGAUGACGUCAAAUCAUCAUGCCCCUUAUGACCUGGGCUACACACGUACUACAAUGGCAAUUAACAGAGGGAAGCAAAACAGCGAUGUGGAGCAAAUCCCGAAAAAUUGUCCCAGUUCAGAUUGCAGGCUGAAACUCGCCUGCAUGAAGUCGGAAUUGCUAGUAAUCGCAGAUCAGAAUGCUGCGGUGAAUACAAUCCCGGGCCUUGCACACACCGCCCGUCAA
rnacentral:rRNA from 1 species